UGAGUACGAGAUGCUACGGCAUCGAAGCAGUCUAUGUCAUACUUCCAAGAAAAGCUUGCAAUGUCAUAAACAAAUAAUGCCUGUACCAUAACCGACACAGGUGGGUAGGUAGAGUAUACUAAGGGGCGCGAGAUAACUCUCUCUAAGGAACUCGGCAAAAUGACUCCGUAACUUCGGGAGAAGGAGUGCCUUAUUUUUAUAAGGUUGCAAUAACAAGAUCCAAGCAACUGUUUACCAAAAACACAGGUCUCCGCUAAGUCGUAAGACGAUGUAUGGGGGCUGACGCCUGCCCAGUGCCAGAAGGUUAAAGAAGUUGGUUAGCAUUAGCGAAGCUGAUAACCGAAGCCCUGGUGAACGGCGGCCGUAAUAAUAACGGUCCUAAGGUAGCGAAAUUCCUUGUCGGGUAAGUUCCGACCCGCACGAAAGGCGUAAUGAUUUGGAUACUGUCUCGGAGAGGGGCUCGGUGAAAUAGACUUGUCUGUGAAGAUGCGGACUACCUGCACCUGGACAGAAAGACCCUAUGAAGCUUUACUGUAACUUGAGAUUGAAAUUGGACUUUAUCUGCGCAGUAUAGGUGGGAGACGUUGAAAAUAUUCUUGCGGGAAUAUUGGAGUCAUCAGUGAGAUACCACUCUUAUAAUGUUAGAUUUCUAACUUUGUAUCAUUAUCUGGUCAAAGAACAGUUUCAGGCGGGCAGUUUGACUGGGGCGGUCGCCUCCCAAACGGUAACGGAGGCGCACAAAGGUUUCCUCUGAACGUGUAGAAAUCGUAUCUAGAGUGUAAAGGCAUAAGGAAGCUUGACUGUGAGACCUACAAGUCGAGCAGGGACGAAAGUCGGUCUUAGUGAUCUGACGGUGCUGAGUGGAAAGGCCGUCACUCAACGGAUAAAAGUUACUCUAAGGAUAACAGGCUGAUCUCCCCCAAGAGUUCACAUCGACGGGGAGGUUUGGCACCUCGAUGUCGGCUCAUCGCAUCCUGGGGCGGUAGUACGUCCCAAGGGUUGGGCUGUUCGCCCAUGAAAGCGGUACGCGAGCUGGGUUCAGAACGUCGUGAGACAGUUCGGUCCAUAUCCGGUGUAGGCGUUAGAAUAUUGAGAGGAGCCUUCUUUAGUACGAGAGGACCGAGAAGGACAUACCUCUGGUGUACCAGUUAUCGUGCCAACGGUAAACGCUGGGUAGCCAUGUAUGGAGAGGAUAACCGCUGAAAGCAUCUAAGUGGGAAGCCCACCUCAAGAUAAGUAUUCUC
rnacentral:rRNA from 1 species